GACGAACGCUGGCGGCGUGCUUAACACAUGCAAGUCGAACGGAAAGGCCCUGCUUUUGUGGGGUGCUCGAGUGGCGAACGGGUGAGUAACACGUGAGUAACCUGCCCUUGACUUUGGGAUAACUUCAGGAAACUGGGGCUAAUACCGGAUAGGAGCUCCUGCUGCAUGGUGGGGGUUGGAAAGUUUCGGCGGUUGGGGAUGGACUCGCGGCUUAUCAGCUUGUUGGUGGGGUAGUGGCUUACCAAGGCUUUGACGGGUAGCCGGCCUGAGAGGGUGACCGGCCACGUUGGGGCUGAUAAAGCCCCGGGACCCAUAGGGGGGGCGGAAGGGGGGAUUUUGGAAAAAGGGGGGGAGCCUUGAGGCAGAACCCCCGGGUGCGGGAGGGGGGCUUUCGGUUGGGAACCCGUUUUCCCCGGGGAGGAAGGGGGAGGAAGGUAAAGGGGAAAAAAAACCCGGGCAAACAAGGAC
rnacentral:rRNA from 1 species